CCUACGGGGGGCAGCAGUGAGGAAUAUUGGUCAAUGGACGAGAGUCUGAACCAGCCAAGUAGCGUGAAGGAUGACUGCCCUAUGGGUUGUAACCUUCUUUUAUAAAGGAAUAAAACGAGGCAAGUGUGCCUUUUUGCAUGUACUUUAUGAAUAAGGAUCGGCUAACUCCGUGCCAGCAGCCGCGGUAAUACGGAGGAUCCGAGCGUUGUCCGGAUUUAUUGGGUAUAAAGGGAGCGUAGAUGGGUUGGUAAGUCAGUUGUGAAAGUUUGCGGCUCAACCGUAAAAUUGCAAUUGAUACUGGCAGUCUUGAGUACAGUUGAGGUAAGCGGAAUUCGUGGUGUAGCGGUGAAAUGCUUAGAUAUCACGAAGAACCCCGAUUGCGAAGGCAGCUUACUAAACUGUGACUGACAUUGAUGCUCGAAAGUGUGGGUAUCAAACAGGAUUAGAUACCCUGGUAGUC
rnacentral:rRNA from 1 species